UGGGCUGUAGCCAAGCGGUAAGGCACCAGACUUUGACUCUGGCACGCGGUGGUUCGAUCCCACCCAGCCCAGCCA
rnacentral:tRNA from 2 species